GGGGCCUCCCUUGCCCUCAGGAGUCCCUGACCAGGGAAGAUCCCUCCAUGCUCUCUGAGGGUGGCGGGGCUCCAAAGAUCCUGGCCAGGAGUGCUUUGUUGGAGUGGGCCUUGUCCUAGGCAGUUGCCAGGAAUGUUUUAAAGGAAGUUGGGCUACUCACAAGUUACUACAUAAGAAAGCAAAAGAUGAAAAGGCGAAGCGAGAAGUGUCUUCCUGGACUGUGGAAGGUGAUAUUAAUACUGACCCAUGGGCAGGUUAUCGAUAUACUGGUAAACUCAGACCACAUUAUCCACUGAUGCCAACAAGGCCAGUGCCAAGUUAUAUUCAAAGACCAGAUUAUGCUGAUCAUCCCUUAGGCACUGUGCUAAGUUCUUUGCACGUGUUACUCCAUUUAACACUUUCAACACUGCUGAGGAAUGUCUGAAUCUGAACAGGCUCUUAAAGGUACUUCUCAGAUUAAAUUACUCUCAUCUGAAGAUAUAGAAGGGAUGCGACUUGUAUGUAGGCUUGCUAGAGAAGUUUUGGAUGUUGCUGCCGGCAUGAUUAAACCAGGUGUAACUACUGAAGAAAUAGAUCACGCUGUACACUUAGCAUGUAUUGCAAGAAAUUGCUA
rnacentral:lncRNA from 1 species